UACAUGUGGGGCAAGCGUUGUUCGGAAUUACUGGGCAUAAAGGGUGCGUAGGCGGCAUGUUAAGUCAUUGGUGAAAGUUUUCGGCCCAACCGGAAAAUUGCCUGUGAUACUGGCGUGCUGGAGUGCGUGAGGGGUGGGGGGAACGAGCAGUGUAGCGGUGAAAUGCGUAGAUAUCAGGAGGAACACCGGCGGUGUAGACGGCUUUCUGGACCGUAGCUGACGCUGGGACACGAAAGCGUGGGUAGCAAACAGG
rnacentral:rRNA from 1 species